UGGGGAAUUUUUCCGCAAUGGGCGAAAGCCUGACGGAGCAAUGCCGCGUGGAGGUGGAGGGCCUAUGGGUCGUCAACUUCUUUUCUCGGAGAAGAAACAAUGACGGUAUCUGAGGAAUAAGCAUCGGCUAACUCUGUCCCAG
rnacentral:rRNA from 1 species